UAGGUGCGACGCAGGGUAAUGUAAGUGCCUUUGGGAUGCCGCAUAGAACUUGACUUAGGGAUUUCGUGACUUUAGUCACAAUUUGUGAACAUAAAAAAAUGUCUUGCUUUUGAUUGUUUUGAUACGUGAUGAUUGUUUCUUUCAUUUGUAUGCAUCUAAUCAUCCAGAUUUCCUAGAUUAGGUUUAGAAUAGGAUCCUAAAAGUGGAGAAGAAGUGAAGAUGGUGGAGGUCGAUGUCCACUCCGACCGUUAUUCUGUAAUAUUCGUUUCUCUCCCGACAUAUGUCUCGGGUUCCAUGCAUUGUAUAACGCCCGACGAGUCGCGGGUUUCCUUUCUUUCUCGAUUAUUCUCUUUUAUAUUCUUUAGAAUUGCAUGAUUAGGUUUACUGCUUUCUCUUGAUUGUUUACUUCAUGUCUUGUG
rnacentral:lncRNA from 1 species